rnacentral:sRNA from 1 species
UGCUCCCACGGUGACUGGCCGGAUUGG